GAUGAACGCUAGCGACAGGCCUAACACAUGCAAGUCGAGGGGCAGCACAUGAGUAGCAAUACGAUGGUGGCGACCGGCGCACGGGUGAGUAACACGUAUGCAACCUGCCUGUAAGAGGGGGAUAACCCGGAGAAAUUCGGACUAAUACCGCAUAAUACCACGAGACUGCAUGGUUUUGUGGUUAAACAUUUAUGGCUUACAGAUGGGCAUGCGUAUGAUUAGAUAGUUGGUAGGGUAACGGCCUACCAAGUCUACGAUCAUUAGGGGUUCUGAGAGGAAGGUCCCCCACACUGGUACUGAGACACGGACCAGACUCCUACGGGAGGCAGCAGUGAGGAAUAUUGGUCAAUGGGCGAGAGCCUGAACCAGCCAAGUCGCGUGAAGGAAGAAGGUUCUAUGGAUUGUAAACUUCUUUUGCAGGGGAAUAAAGGACGGUACGUGUACUGUUUUGUAUGUACCUUGCGAAUAAGGAUCGGCUAACUCCGUGCCCAGCAGCCGUAC
rnacentral:rRNA from 1 species